CCUACGGGAGGCAGCAGUGGGGAAUAUUGGACAAUGGGGGGAACCCUGAUCCAGCCAUGCCGCGUGUGUGAAGAAGGCCCUCGGGUUGUAAAGCACUUUCAGUGAGGAAGAACGCCUGGUGGUUAAUACCCAUCAGGAAAGACAUCACUCACAGAAGAAGCACCGGCUAACUCCGUGCCAGCAGCCGCGGUAAUACGGAGGGUGCGAGCGUUAAUCGGAAUUACUGGGCAUAAAGCGCGCGUAGGUGGCUUGAUAAGCCGGUUGUGAAAGCCCCGGGCUCAACCUGGGAACGGCAUCCGGAACUGUCAAGCUAGAGUGCAGGAGAGGAAGGUAGAAUUCCCGGUGUAGCGGUGAAAUGCGUAGAGAUCGGGAGGAAUACCAGUGGCGAAGGCGGCCUUCUGGACUGACACUGACACUGAGGUGCGAAAGCGUGGGUAGCAAACAGGAUUAGAUACCCGAGUAGUC
rnacentral:rRNA from 1 species